rnacentral:rRNA from 1 species
UACGGAGGGUGCAAGCGUUGUUCGGAAUUAUUGGGCGUAAAGCGCGUGUAGGCGGCUAUCUAAGUCUGGUGUGAAAGCCCUCGGCUUAACCGAGGAAGUGCAUUGGAUACUGGAUGGCUAGAGGAUGAGAGAGGAGAGUAGAAUUCCCGGUGUAGGGGUGAAAUCCGUAGAGAUCGGGAGGAAUACCAGAGGCGAAGGCGGCUCUCUGGCUCAUAUCUGACGCUGAGACGCGAAAGCGUGGGGAGCAAACAGG